UGGGGAAUCUUCCGCAAUGGACGAAAGUCUGACGGAGCAACGCCGCGUGAGUGAAGAAGGUUUUCGGAUCGUAAAACUCUGUCUUUUGGGGCGAACGUGAGUAUGGUGAACAAUCAUAGUCAGUGACGGUACCAAAGGAGGAAGCCACGGCUAACUACGUGCCAGCGGCCGCGGUAAUACGUAGGUGGCAAGCGUUGUCCGGAAUUAUUGGGCGUAAAGAGCGCGUAGGCGGGAUAGUCAGUCUGUUGUAAAGUGCGGGCUCAACCCGUGAUGCAAUGGAACAGCUAUUCUUGAGUGCAGGAGAGGAAAGUGGAAUUCCCAGUGUAGCGGUGAAAUGCGUAGAUAUUGGGAGGAACACCAGUGGCGAAGGCGACUUUCUGGACUGUGUCUGACGCUGAGGCGCGAAAGCCAGGGGGAGCGAACGGGAUUAGAUACCCUGGUAGUCCUGGGCCGUAAACGAUGGGUACUAGGUGUGGGAGGUAUC
rnacentral:rRNA from 1 species